rnacentral:rRNA from 1 species
AUACGUAGGGGGCAAGCGUUGUCCGGAAUUACUGGGCGUAAAGAGCUCGUAGGCGGCUCAGCAAGUCGGUCGUGAAAGCCCGAGGCUCAACCUCGGAACUGCGGUCGAUACUGCUGUGGCUAGAGUCCGGUAGAGGAGAGUGGAAUUCCCGGUGUAGCGGUGGAAUGCGCAGAUAUCGGGAGGAACACCAGUGGCGAAGGCGGCUCUCUGGGCCGGUACUGCCGCUGAGGAGCGAAAGCGUGGGGAGCAAACAGGAUUAGAUACCCUAGUAGUCC